rnacentral:lncRNA from 1 species
UUUUUUUUUUUUUUUUCCUUAACUACUUGUAUCUCUCUCUCUCUUUCUCUCUCUGCCUCUCUGUCUCUUCCUUUCUCUCUCUCUGCUGGUCUUUCCUUGCCUUUGCCAGCCUCUUAUGCUGCUGUUCUCUCAACCACUGUGUGUUGGGGGUGGGGGGUCUAAAGCCAGCUGUAACCAAGUGUCUAUGUAUGGGAACUGGUCUGGGUUCCCUGGCUUACAGGUUACCUUGUGCCAUACCUUUGAAACAAGGGACCUGUCCAGGCUUCCUUCUAAUGGCCAACCUACCUCUAAUGCUGGCCAGUCUAUCUUACACAAAGUUUUAAGUUUUCCUGGUGUCAUAGUACUCUAUAGUCUCCCUUAAAUUCUUUUUUGAAAUUUUUCAACAUAGUUCCUAGUAGGGUGGGCUUAUUUGUGCCUGACCUAUGCUUCUCUGAGACAAAACACCACACUCACACCACACGCACACCACAAAACAAAGAAUGGGUAAAAAGGGUACACACACACUUUUGCAGUUUGCACCAAACCAAAAUCAAAACCAAAAUCAGAGUAUCCAGAAAUCCAAGCCAGGUCAAAACCAAAACCAAAGUAUCAAGCAAUCCAAGUCAAGUCAAAACCAAAAACCAAUGUCCUGGUACAGGCACACCAUGGGUGAUCAGGCCACGCUUCCAUUCAAAUCGAGUAGGCAAGUUCCCAAGACCAAUCCUGUCAAGCAAUCCAAACCAAGUCAAAACCAAAACCAAAGUGCCGAUAAUGGCAUGCCGUGGGUGAUCAGGCCAUGCUUCCACUCAAACGGAGUGAGCAAGUUUCAAAGACUAGUCUUACCAAGUUUUAGAUGUCCGGACUCCAAGUGCCCGUUCCUUCCUGGUGUUCAGCCACCGUGUUGAUCCUCCAUGGGGGCCUGCCACACACUGCUCUGGUGAGGUGUCCCACUGGGGCAAAUGCCUACCCAGGAGCGCUCUCAGGAUCUGCCUCACUCAGGCUGGUUGGAGUCCCCCGCAGGGAUGUUCCAGAGGGCAGGCUUAAGCCGCCUAAGGAGCUGCCUCGAACAUCUGCCAAUCACCUCGCUUCCCAGACAGGAAACCAAGAAAUGUAGCAGGACGAACGGCAGACAAAACUCCUCAGACACCAAGCUACAGAAGGAAGGGGUCUACUCGGCCAGGGGCAUCGGCAAGACUCCCUCAAGAGCCGAGCUCCCCGAGUGAGCAAUUCCUGUCCCUUUUAAGGGCUCACAACUCCAAGGGGGUGCGUGUGAGAAGGUCGUGAUUGAUUGAGCGAGCAGGGGGUACGUGACUGGGGGCUGCAUGCACCAGUAAUUACAUCAGAACAAAACAAGAUAGGGAUUUUCACAGUGCAUUUCUAUACAAUGUCUGUAAUCUAUAGAUAACAUAACUGAUUAGGUCAGGGGUCGAUCUUUAACUACCAGGCCCAGGGUGUGGCGCUGGGCUGUCUGCUUGUGGAUUUCAUUUCUGCCUUAUAGUUUUUACUUUUUGUUUCUUUGGAGGCAGAA